UACGUAGGGUGCGAGCGUUAUCCGGAAUUAUUGGGCGUAAAGAGCUCGUAGGCGGUGUGUCGCGUCUGCUGUGAAAACUCAGGGCUCAACUCUGAGCUUGCAGUGGGUACGGGCACACUUGAGUGCGGUAGGGGAGACUGGAAUUCCUGGUGUAGCGGUGAAAUGCGCAGAUAUCAGGAGGAACACCGGUGGCGAAGGCGGGACUCUGGGCCGAUACUGACGCUGAGGAGCGAAAGCGUGGGGAGCAAACAGG
rnacentral:rRNA from 1 species